UACAGAGGGUGCAAGCGUUGUUCAGAAUUAUUGGGCGUAAAGCGCACGUAGGCGGUUCGUUAUGUCGGAUGUGAAAGCCCUCGGCUUAACCGGGGAAGUGCAUCCGAAACUGGCGAGCUUGAGUACUAAAGAGGGUCGCGGAAUUCCCGGUGUAGAGGUGAAAUUCGUAGAUAUCGGGAGGAACACCAGCGGCGAAGGCGGCGACCUGGGUAGAUACUGACGCUGAGGUGCGAAAGCGUGGGGAGCAAACAGG
rnacentral:rRNA from 1 species